CUUGCUGCUGCCCAGCAGCACCGGCUGGUCGGCCGGACGCUGCUGGCCGUACGUGGCCAGCACCGCCUGGGCCUC
rnacentral:antisense_RNA from 1 species